rnacentral:tRNA from 2 species
GGCUUGGUAGCUUAGCUGGUAUAGCACUCGUCGAUCAUACAAGGGUCGUGGGUACGAAUCCCAUCUAAGUGA